UCUGGGAAACUAGCAUAAGACCGUUCCAGACCCCUGAAUGAGAAGGUCAGUUUGGAUGUCUAGACAAUCUAUGGAGGUGCUGGUAGUGGAUCAGUAUUUACCCCUAGUACACAAAUGGACUUUGGGAGACCAUUCCACAUAGAGGGAUACUCUCUCAGCAUAGACACACGUCAGAGGGUCUAGGCUUUGCUCCAACUGCCAGGUAUCCUCUUAUUUGGUGCCUAUCUUAUUAACUUGAGAAUGGGUUUCUCACUGAAACAGAAGCUCACCAUUUUGAACAGGGCUGGCUGGCUGGCUGGCAAGAAAGCUCUCAAGAUCUACCCUCUCUGCCACCCACCCCACCACCAGUGAGCCAUAAUUCCAGCCUCACAGCUUAGCAAUCUGUUAAUGCUCAUCCUCUCUUGAUUCUCUGCUGUGUAUGGUGUGUGUAGCUUUCCUCUGGGAUUCUGCCUCUUUGUCCUUCACUUUAACCCACAGUUACUUUCUAAACUAUAGCAGACAAAAAUAAGAAACUCAUUCCUAGUUUGCAGUAUGCAUCUUCCCAUAAUCUUUGUAUACACUCAGACAGCACACAUACACACACAAAAAUGAACAAACCCAUAGCUUGAAGUGUUGUGUUCUAUAAAUAAAAAUGUGCCAGAGCUUAAAGACUCUUCAGAUGCGGUUGUUGAAUUUUUGACUUUUAUCAUUUCCCUUUCAUUGUGUGUCAAACUCUCGCCAUGUUCAGCAGCAGUUUCUCUUGGCACCCUGUUUUCCCGAAGGACCCCUGUGGCAUUCAACUUAGUUUUCACAGAGAUAAUUUUUUCAACUCACAUUCUAUCUGUGUAAAUGAUAUUAUGUCAUUUCCCUAUUUGGAAUAAUAAUGUUAAGUAGCUCAAAUAGCUGGCUCACUCCUUGAUGAAUCGCAACUCAAAUGAUGAAGGGUUAGGGUUAGGGUUAGGGUUAGCUUCACUAGCCCAGAGAAAGUUUCCUGUGAGUUGCCCUGUCAGAGGUCAUCCUCACUUCUACACAUCCUUGUCUUGUGGCUUUCCCCCAAUUGGUAGGGAUGAUACAUGCUAGUCUGUAUCACUCUCACCAUUAGUCACUUGACAUUAUCUAGAGAUGCUUUCAAAUGUGUGGUUACUUGAAGGAAACCAAAGGGCUUGUUGAAAGCAGCAAAGCCUCCUCUCCCCUAGCUCUAAACACACCUUGUUUCACAAGCUGUUCCAGGAGCAUUCCCAGUUUCUGCUCCCUCCUGCCUUGAUGAUAAGCCUUAUCUGAUACGAUGUCUUUCUGGGGAAAGCUCUCGUGUAUUUUGUGGUUGGCUAAAUAGGCUUCAGUCUUCACUUCAUAUACUCCCCCUCUUGAAUUAUGGGCCUUCUCACACAUCCUCGGCUCUGCAGACAUGCCUCUUCCUCCCUCUUGAAGUAGACCGUCAUUACUUCAAAAUAGGUUCAUCUUCUGAUUUCUGUGGAUUAUUUAGUCCAGAAAUUGUAAUGGAAAUAGCAGACCAGCAUCUGAACUUUGGCCAGUUUGGUAUCAUGAGUCUGGCGUGUCUAAAGUCAGGGCUAGGUGUUGCUGGCUAAUUUGUGAAGAAUGGGCUGGGACCAGGAGCUGGUAAAUGACUGGGAGUGUCAGCUCCCAGUCAAUCAAAAAAUGAGUCAGAACCUCGAGCAUAGCCUCCCAUAAGCAGAGAAGACAGUUACCCACAUCAUGUGCCAGGAUGUAAAAUAGGCUACAAACAGAAGCAAAUUCACAGAAUUUGAUAACUGAAGUAGUUUGGGAGGAGUGGUCACCCCAUGAUAAGUAAAAAUAAGUGGGUAGCAGGUCAGGCAGAAUUGGUCUGUAGCUUUAAUUUUAUGGUAGUUGGUUAGAUUUCUACAAAUGUACCCAUUUGGUCAAGAUUCUCAAAGAAGUUGGAAACAAACAAAUGAGAGGUAAUGGGGAGUUCAGUGUCUGUGGCGUUCAGUGGGUCAUUGCCUGCCAAUGGCGUAAACAGGAAGAAGCCGUUAUUUGCUUGGCCAUGGUAGUUAUAUAUAAACUGUUGUGCUACUGUUUUUGACUCUGGGUUAUCUGACUCAACAAAGUAGUGGACAAAUAAAUUCAUUACUUUAGUGUAGCCAUUAACAGAUUAUGGUACAUCUGUUUUCUGUUGCUAUUACCAAAUACCCGAGGCUGGGUAAUUUUCUUUUUUAAAACAGAAGUUUAGCUCAUGUUCUAGAGGUUUGAAAGUCAAAGAGCAUGGCACCAACAUCUGCCUCAUGCUUGGCACUGUACUGCUUGUCAUCAUUGUGGAGGGGACCGCUCAGUGGGCUCUGCUUUUCUUUCUCAUUUAAAGUCACUAAUGGUGUCUGGGGGGCUCCACCUUCAUGAUUCUACGCAAUCCUAAUUUCUCCCAAAUGACUCAUUCCCAGGAGGAACUUUGGUGGGAGGAUACUCUAACAAUAGCUUAUUUUUAAAAGCUAUAAAGGAGCAGGGUUCCCUGCCUCCAUCUUAGUAACAAGAUAGUUCUGCCAAAUCAUGAAACAGGUAAUACUUUUCUUGUUUUGGUUCUUUUUUUGGGGGGGUCUGCAUUUGAUUAAGAAAAAGUAACAGCUAUAAAGGCAAACAGAAGAUUCUAGAAUUUUUCCUUUCCUUAAAGGUAUUGCUGCUGCACCUGUUUCCCAGAUAGCACUUUCCUGUUGCUAAGUGACAUAUUUUAUGCAAUUAGUUGAUUUGAGGGGGGGGGCAUUGUCACUAUGUAAACCAGGAUAGCCUAAAGUAUGCAGAUGCUUCUGGCUGAAUGGCUCUAACUGUGUGUUCGGUUAAGGUUGUUUAGAAGAAAACUUGGAGAAGCUGACCCAGUUUUAAAGCAUACUUUAUUUUAAAUAAGAACAUAAUGACCAAAACAUGGCUCCCAAACAGAAUGUGUUGGAUCUGUCCACCUGUUGGUUAUGUGGAUGACAGGCCAAGUCUGAGCCACUGAUCUUCCAGUCCCAGCAUUCUCGUCUGUGUGGUGGGAAGGAAGCUCUGAUGUGAGACAGCUGCCUUGUGGAGACACUCCUGGAAGAGAAGCCGGGAAUCACCAUCUGUUUCUCCGUGGUACUCCAGGAAAGCCCUGCUCCUGUUCUUCAGGAACACAUCAUUCCCACAGGUUCUGAAGCAGGAACUUAGUGACAUCAGUGAGGGAAGACAGAGGCCUUCCAGGAGCCUUUGGUUCCAGACCUGCCCUUACUCCCACAGGCUUCUCCCAAGCUGCUGCAGUUGAGUGCCUGGUGACUCCCACUUGAGCAGCCAGGGUAACGACUUCACACAAUAACUUCAUAAGGGCAGCACGCACUGCAUCCUCUGGGGGAAGAAUUUUACCUCUUGCCCUCAUCCUGUAAACAAGGAUGGCCUCUGUUUAAAUGAGAGGAAAAGGAAGAGGGAAGAGGAUAUUGUAUCACCUGGCCUGCCAGUUUGGGGAACAGAUGUUUUCCUUGUUUCAUUGUUCACAGAGAAAUGUUUUCAGGGUAAUAUAAACUAAAUGCUCAAAAACACA